AAAUAAGUGUGCUGCUGAAUGGUAUUAUUGGUAGUUUCGGAAUGAUAAAAAGUGAAUAUGUAUUAUAAGGUUUUAUUUUAGAUGUUUUUGUUUUAUGUAAUUGUAAUAAUUCUAAAUUAUAACCAAGCCAUGUUGGGGGCCUCAAAAUAGAGAAGCGGUGGGGGUGUUGCUGCUGUGGGUAUCAUCUACUUAAAUAUUUAAAGAGGCUAGAAGUCAGAAGUUUUACUAGUCUGAUAGAGCAGCCCAACAGUGGUGUAUGCUGCUGUAUAAUUAUUUCCGUACACUUUCACCACAGAUGUUCAGAACAAUUGGAGAGGUGGAGUCAGGAAAAUAACUAGAGUUAUGCACUUUAUCUUGCGUGUUGGUGUGCAACACUCUUUGCAUUUGUUGUAACUGAUCAUGUUGUGAUCAUACAUUUAUCUUUGGCACCCAGCAAACUGUUUUAAAAAAUGCAAAGGCUGUUUGAAUAAAGGUUUUGUGAAAAUAUAAGCUUAAUUUGUCCCUUUUUUACAGCAGGUCGAGGUUCGUUCCCACCAGAUCCAUUAUGGAAGCAACAUCUGGUAUUUAAAUCAUCAAAUUCAGUAAAGAACCGCUUUGUUAAGCAGUUCUGGUGUUUUUCAUUGCCGAUCAUUUGACAAACCAUUUUUUAUUUUACAAAUGUGUUUAUUUGUAAUGUGUUCAAUCAUAUGACAUCAAAAACAAUCAAAUACGUUCAUCAAGUAAAAGAGCAGUGAAAAUGAAGCAUAAAAGUAAAAUCAUCUUGUUUAAAGUUUGGAUUUUGAAAUAAUCUACUCUAGUGUGUUGUUUCAAUCAACAAAAUGCUUGUCAUGAAUUGUGCAGUGCCCAACAGUGGUGUUGAUUGUAUUCCAAUAGACAUAACAUGACUGGUCCCCAGGAAGGACAGAAAUUCAGGUUUAGUCCCCAGGGGGGGAACAAAUUCAUUUUUGAGAGUGUUUGAUGUUUAAAGUGAUUUUUGUGUUCACAUAAAAUUAUCAUGAUUUUAGCAGUUAAAAUCAUGUCUAUACACUCCUUAGAAAGGGGGGAUCCCAUCAGGCUGCUGCCUGUCACUGGAUCCCACGAUGUAAUAAAAACGGGUGUGUUUGUUUGUUUGUUUGUUUGUUUGUUUGUUUGUUUGUGUGUGUGUGUGUGUAUAAUCUACGUAGGCAGGAGAAGCGCUGGACUGCCGAAGAACAGGCGAGGACCUGGAAGAAGAGCAAACUGUGUGUAGAUUUAUUCUUAUUCCCAUUCCUCUGCUGCCCGCUGUAACCUUUUUAUCUGAUGCACAAACAAGAAGAGGGCCAAGGAGGAGGCGAGGGCCAGGAAGAAGGGCUGGCCUUUCCACGAACGGAAAGCGUACACGUGCCAGCUGUGUGGCAUGCCCAAGACCAACCAGUAGGGGCAACGGGGAGGUACAAAAAGUCCUACUGGAAAACAAACACCUCUGUUGGACUCAACACCGUGAUGCGGGCUGCAUACGGCAACAGCAGCAACCCCGGCCAGAAUCCCUCCAUCAGCAGGUUGGUGGAGGCCAUCUGCAUCAGGCUGUGCAGGGAGCAUCCAAAAGGCAGACAGAUUUUGUGGGAAGAGGUACAAUUGUUGGACAUCUAUCCUGAAUGACUACACUUUGAGCAGGGAAAACCUAAUCACCAGCGAUGUGAUAAUGUCCAAGACGAGGCUUCAGCUCUUCACCAUAAACCUGAGGACCCUGACUAAAUGGUACAGUGAUAGAGGGAAGGCCAUGGAUUUGAGGAUGCUGCAGCAGGCCAUUCCCUCCGCCAAUUGGCGUGGCAUCCGUGGCCCAAUGCCCAUUGGUUAAUCCAGCUAAAUCUGACCAAUGAGAGAGCAGCUAAUGCGGUAAUGCACUAUUUACUUGGUUUGCCAACCGGCAGAAAGAAAAACGAGGAAAAUGGUUAGAGGAACAACGAAGACGAUAGAGAAAAAAAGCAAAAAAACUGCCUGAAGAAGCCACCAUGACAAUGCUUCGCUAGGGGUGUCACCACAGACAGUCACCAGCUCUAUGGCCUCUUCAUGGCGAGGCUAUCCUUCGCCAUUUUCGAGUGGGAUGCUGAGGAUGUCGCCCGCCUGAGAGAGGCCAAGCAGUCCGUGGAGGGGAGGGAAGCCCACAUCAAGCUGUCCGGCAAGGAGCUGGCUCGCCAGGAGGUGCUGGACGCCUUCUGGACGCUGACAGACACCAUGGGCGUCCCCUUGAUCGACCGCGCCCACAUGGAGGAGAUCUGGAGCACGCAGCGCCGCCACCUCGACUGCAUCCAGGACCCAGAGGGGGUGGAGCUGUACACCCGGACAGGAGAGGUCACCGAGGGGGGUGUGAAGCUCCCCGUCUUCAGGUGUGCUCGAGGCUCCACUUCCCUGGAGUCCUUCCACCUGCACCAGUGUCGCUUCAUCCCAGGUACAACUGCGAGUGAUGUCCACGGACACUGAUGAGGGCUUCGAGGAAGAGGAGGAGCCAGAGGAGAUCCGUCUCCUUGCACAUCACAGCGCUCUCCUCCAGAAGCCCCACUGUGUGCCUGAUGUCGGAGAGGCCUCGUCAUCCCAGUCGGAACCCCACCACCCACCUCCUGACCACAACAGGAUAGAGGUGCAGCAGGCUGAGCUGGAGGAAGAGGAGGAUGAAGUCAUUGGGCCAGACGGUCACCCCGGUUACGAUCACUUGGUGGCCCUGGCCCACGCCCUCGUGGAGUUGCGUCACCACGCCUUCGUCACACAGCGUCGGUCCAGAGAGAUAAUCGCUCUCUGGGAGAAGCUGACUGACCGUGACAAGGUGCCGGUGAGCUUCCCCCCCCUGCCACCAGGACAGGCUGGUCAAGGGGAGGUUUAAUUAGCGGACCCUGACGCUGUGGCACAACAAAUGGAGCAAGGCAAUUAUGAGGGACACUGUCACCAUAGCAGUUCCGGGGCCCAGUGCUCCCCAGACUGCAGCUGAGCCCCUGCCUGCCCCACGGACUCUGCUGCAGCAGCCCCAACAGCCAGACCAGCCCCUCCAGCAUCAACUGCCUACAGAUAACUCUGGUCUGGCUGCCACCAUCCGAGGGCCGCUUGCCCCGGAACUGUUUGACCUCAUUGCCGCCCACCAAAAGUGCCACCGCCUCCUCCUCCACUGCUCCCCCGAUGGACACCACCCCAUCCUCUGCCCCAGCUCCCCGAUGGACACCACCCCAUCCUCUACUCCCCCGAUGGACACCACCCAAUCCUCGGCCCCUGUCCCCCCGAUGGACACCACCCAAUCCUCGGCCCCUGUCCCCCGAUGGACACCACCCCAUCCUCUGCUCCCCCGAUGGACACCACCCCAUCCUCUGCCCAUGUCCCCCCGAUGGACACCACCCCAUCCUCUGCUCCCCCGAUGGACACCACCCCGUCCACCAGUGGCACUCCUGCUCCCUCCACCAGCACUGCUGCAGCCUCUGCUGGAGCCAUCCCCCGCUCUACUGAGUGGAGGCACAGGGUUCACGCAGAGCAGGCACGUCGGGCCCAGGAGGAAGGGCGCUUGCUUAAGCCCCUCAAAAAGGGCUCCCGCUUCAAUUCUAGGCGCUGUGGCCAGCCAAAAACAAAAGAAUACGGCCACAGCCACUACAAAAGGGAGACCUAUUGUGCCCGGGCCGACGGGGGAACGUUGGAGCAGUGGCUGCUUAAAAUGAAGCGUAGGGAGCGCGAGGGGCCACCCCCACCACCUUGACUUUUUAACAUGGCAUAAGUGUUGACUUUUCCUGGUUUUAAAGGCUGCAUUACAGUAAAGUGAUGUCACAGCCAAAAGACAAAAAGACAGCGACAUUUAGAGAACGCUGUGACGCAGUCAGAAUGGAAGCGGUAACUACGGAAAAACAGGAUGGACAAUCGAGAGCAGAAGCGAGGGAGGUAGAAAGACAAUACAAUAAAGAGAAAGACAGAGAUAAAUAUGGAGAACGACAAAUAUAGACAGAUGCUGUUAGGCCUACUAUCACAUGAGAAACAGGUACAGGCAUGCGUUGCAGGCAAGGGUAGAAACAAGACUACGAGAGAGAAGAGCGCAAACAAAGGAAAAUCAGGGCAAAGCAGCUAGAAAGAGUGGAAAAUAUGUGUACUACAACAUGAGGAAAAGAAGACCUCCUAUUGCAGGUAAAUGUUUAUUUUAUGUAAUUUAGAAACCGACAGUAGCCUACCUCUCAAGGAUCACAUGCAUGCAUUACAGGCAAAGUAAAGGCAGAAAAAAAGACUAUUAGAGAGAGAACUCCCCACCACCAUGACGAUGUAUCAGCUGCACCCCCCCACCAUGACCCCCAUGAACGCAAAAGACAGCAACAAUUAAAGAAACAAAGUGACGCAGCCAGAAUGGAAGAGAUAACUACUACUAAUAGUUUUAAUAUUGUAAUAUAAUUGUAUGCCAUGUGUGUUUUUUCUAAAUAAAUGUUUGAAAGUUAACAAAC